rnacentral:tRNA from 1 species
AGUAGCCAAGCGGUAAGGCACCGGACUUUGACUCCGUUAUACGAAGGUUCGAUCCCUUCCUG